rnacentral:misc_RNA from 1 species
CCGAGUUUACAAACUCCCAAACCCUUUGUGAACCUUGCCGUAUCGUUGCUUCGGCGGGACCGCCCCGGCGCCCUCGGGCCCGGAACCAGGCGCCCGCCGGAGGCCCCAAACCCUCAUGUCUUUAGUGGUUUUCUCCUCUGAGUGACACAUAAACAAAUAAAUAA